rnacentral:misc_RNA from 1 species
AAGUCGUAACAAGGUUUCCGUAGGUGAACCUGCGGAAGGAUCAUUACAGUGAUACCAGCCCCUGGCUGGACUCACCACCCUGUGUAUUAUUACUUGUUGCUUUGGCAGGCCGCGAGAUUGCAUUGCAAUUGAGCACCGGCUCCGGCUGGAGAGCGCCCGCCAGAGGACCCAACUCUUGUUAUCAGUGAUGUCUGAGUACUAUUUAAUAGUUAAAACUUUCAACAACGGAUCUCUUGGUUCUG